UUGAUGCAACAUGAACAUUCACGAUCACGUUCACGUCGAAAAACAUGAAAAUGCGCAACUACUAACGUUAGACCCUUUGCACAAUAACGGUCACGUGAUCCGAGACGGGGCAUCCUCGAUUUUUGUGCAGAGUAUCCGUUGUAAUUGUUGAGCAUGGUGAAACACUGUAUUUUUCCAUUUUGGAGAUGGAGGAGAGAGUGUCGAGUGGUUUGCCAUCGAUGGCUGUGGCACCCGUGGACGAACUGUCAAAUGAAGAAUGGCCUGUGAAGGAACUGAACAGUUUUCUGCUGAAUGAGGGUGCGUAUCUGUCUGGAAAAAGAAGGAGUUGUUGGAGCGAGAACACUUCUCUAUGCAGAACCCUGAUGCUCCUAGAACUAAGAAGGGCACCACUUCCUCGAGUGUACAGUCGUCGUGCCAAACAUUUCAUGCGUCCCAGUGGAUGACUCGAUGAGUGAUGAACCUCUGUUUCCCAGAACCAGAAUGCUUCGCCAUCAACUCCUGGCUUUCCAUCGGCAUGGUGUUCAGCUGCAGCGGCAUCUGGUCCGGGGAGUACGUUGCUGGAUGGCUGCACUGACACAGGAUGGGUUUGCGUUGGCAAUGCAAUACGGCAGUCAUCCCACAUUAUGAGCUACAAGUUUAUGUAAUUUAUAUUGUCGCUCGUCCAGCAACGUCAAGGCUCUGCAUGUAAACACAGGAGAACACCAUAAUAAUUAUACUACUUAGGGGAUAAUAAUUAUAAUUUUGGAUUAUCAAUUUCUUGACAUUUAUGAGUUCCUGUCUAAACCAUGUCGUGAUAUUGAUUGCUAUCUGCUCACAAAGUACCUCGUGUUGUAACAAUACUCUGCUUAAUCACUACCCUCUGCCAAUUAUUAGAUUCGCACAAUAUUCACAACAUAUGCAACACAAUGCUGUCUAUUGACACUACUUCGAACUGAAACGCUCAUUACUCGUCUCCCGUUUUCAACUCCCUCUACCUUACGAAUACUCUACUUUACUGGUUUCGUUUCUUCCCUUUCCAUUGCUGCCAGCUCCCAGUCUUUUUCAGUGCACAGCACCAUAUUGAAAUUUUUGUGAUUUGAUGUACACAUACUUUGAAAUUGAAAUUCGAAUUACAUGA